AACGAACGCUGGCGGCAGGCCUAACACAUGCAAGUCGAACGCUCCGCAAGGGGAGUGGCAGACGGGUGAGUAACACGUGGGAAUCUUCCUAUUGGUAUGGAAUAGCUCAGGGAAACUUGGGGUAAUACCGUAUAAGCCCGAGAGGGGAAAGAUUUAUCGCCAAUAGAUGAGCCCGCGUCUGAUUAGCUAGUUGGUGAGGUAAUGGCUCACCAAGGCGACGAUCAGUAGCUGGUCUGAGAGGAUGAUCAGCCACACUGGGACUGAGACACGGCCCAGACUCCUACGGGAGGCAGCAGUGGGGAAUAUUGGACAAUGGGCGCAAGCCUGAUCUAGCCAUGCCGCGUGAGCGAUGAAGGCCUUAGGGUUGUAAAGCUCUUUCGUGGGGGAAGAUAAUGACGGUACCCAAGAAGAAGCCCCGGCUAACUCCGUGCCAGCAGCCGCGGUAAU
rnacentral:rRNA from 1 species